rnacentral:rRNA from 1 species
CAUGCCUGCAGGUCGACGAUUCCCCGUCAAUUCCUUUGAGUUUUAGUCUUGCGACCGUAGUCCCCAGGCGGGAUGCUUAACGCGUUAGCUACGGCACAAGGGGGGUCGAUACCCCUCACACCUAGCAUCCAUCGUUUACGGCGUGGACUACCCGGGUAUCUAAUCCGGUUCGCUCCCCACGCUUUCGCGUCUCAGCGUCAGGACUAAGCCAGGAAGUCGCCUUCGCCACUGGUGUUCCUUCCGAUAUCUACGCAUUCCACCACUACACCGGAAGUUCCACUUCCCUCUCCCAGCCUCAAGACCGGCGGUAUUGAACGGCGUGACAAGGUUGGGCCUUGACAUUUCACGUUCAACCUACCGGUCCGCCUACACGCGCUUUACGCCCAGUAAUUCCGGAUAACGCUCGCCACCUACGUAUUGCCGCGGCUGCUGGCACGUAGUUGGCCGUGGCUUAUUCCUGGGCUACUGUCAUUUUCAUCACCCAGAAAAGGGCUUUACGACCCUAGGGCCUUCUUCGCCCACGCGGCGUCGCUGCGUCAGGAAUCUCUAGAGGAUCCCCGGGUACCGAGCUCGAAUUCGUAAUCAUGGUCAUAGCUGUUUCCUGUGUGAAAAUGGUAUNCGCUCACAAUUCCACACAACAUACGAGCCGGAAGCAUAAAGUGUAAAAGCCUGGGGUGGCUAAUGAGUGAGCUNAACUCACANUUAAUUGCGUUGCGCU